CUCGAGGACAUCAUCAAACUCCUGGAACCUUUUGAUGAGGCUACCAGACACCUCUCUACUGAGCAGACACCAACCCUUCACCUCGUUCUCCCGACCAAAGCGACUCUACUGAGGGGUCUGUCGAUCGUGGAAGGAGACAGUGUGGUUAUGAAAGAGCUGAAAGUGAAGUUAGCCCAGGCAGUGGAGUUGGAAGUUCAAAAUCCACCAUUACCAUAAGCUAGCCACAGCUUUCUCACCUAGCUUAAGGAGUUUCUGAUUCCGUGAUUUAAAAAAGCCGAGUGAUUUUACGCUAGAUGGCGUGAUGUACAUAUCUAUUGAAGGACCAGAUAUGGACAAAUUCAGCGCCACAGAAGCUGUGGAGAACUGGUGGAAAGAUGAUGAUGGAGCCAAACGACCCGGAUUUAGCUCUUGGGAAGAAAUUUCUACACAGCAGCAGCUGGAUGAUGAAUUUAAUCUAUACUAUAAU